rnacentral:rRNA from 1 species
UAGGGAAUCUUCCGCAAUGGGCGAAAGCCUGACGGAGCAACGCCGCGUGAGUGAUGAAGGUCUUCGGAUCGUAAAACUCUGUUAUUAGGGAAGAACAAAUGUGUAAGUAACUAUGCACGUCUUGACGGUACCUAAUCAGAAAGCCACGGCUAACUACGUGCCAGCAGCCGCGGUAAUACGUAGGGGGCGAGCGUUGUCCGGAAUUACUGGGCGUAAAGGGUUCGCAGGCGGCAUGACAAGUCCGAUGUAAAAGGCGAAAGCUCAACUUUCGUAAGCAUCGGAAACUGUCAAGCUUGAGUGAAGGAGAGGCAAGUGGAAUUCCUAGUGUAGCGGUGGAAUGCGUAGAUAUUAGGAGGAAUACCGGUGGCGAAGGCGACUUGCUGGACUUCAACUGACGCUGAGGAACGAAAGCGUGGGUAGCAAACAGG